rnacentral:lncRNA from 1 species
ACAUAUUAAUAUAUUUUCUCAAAUUUUUUCAUAACCAUUUGAGUAACAUACAAACAACAAGGAGACAUCCCCUCGAGAGUUUAAAAUAGUUUCCCCGUAUUACCCAGUUUGGAGGAAACCAGAAAUAUUUUAGGCCAUAGCCAUGAUACAAGGUGAAACGGUUUUAUUUCAGAAUCUGGUUACAAGAGACUUGAAUUUCCUUUACUACAACGGAACUAAAUUCAACACGAAUAAAUCUACAGACAAUUUAAUGAAACAAUCAAUAACUUUCCGACACCUUGUAAUCACAUCAACCCCUGAGCCCAACGUCCAUCAGCAUGAGCAACUUUAUUCUCCUUAAUAUCGUGUGUUGCAGUCUCAGUUAAUCGCUCGUCUGAGGUGAUGAGCAGCCGCAGAGGAGCUGCCAGAUGCUCUUCUUGACGUUGUUACGCUUGGACUUCCCCAUUCUUGCUCCAGGAAUAUCCGAGCUGCACAAGCUCUAAUGCUCCAAAUGAAAUGCUCCUGUAAACAAAGGAACCAAUUGAAAAUCUCCUACAAAAUUACGCGAAGAUGAAAGAAAUAUACACAGCUAAAUAGCAAAAAGGAACCAGCAGAGUAAAAAUAGAAUGCUAUUGUAACCUCCAGUUAACUUCUUCAGGAAUCAGGGGAUGUCAAG